GACGAACGCUGGCGGCGCGCUUAACACAUGCAAGUCGAACGGAAAGGCCUGCUUUCCCUUGUGGAUUGCGGGUACUCGAGUGGCGAACGGGUGAGUAACACGUGAGUGAUCUGCCCCCAACUUGGGUAUAAGCCUGGGAAACUGGGUCUAAUUCCCGAUAGGACUGCAGGGUGGUGCCUGUGGUGGAAAACGAUUUUCUAGUGGUUGGGGAUGAGCUCGCGGCCUAUCAGCUUGUUGGUGGGGUAAUGGCCUACCAAGGCGGCGACGGGUAGCCGGCCUGAGAGGGUGGACGGCCGCAUUGGGACUGAGACACGGCCCCGACUCCUACGGGAGGCAGCAGUGGGGAAUAUUGCACAAUGGGCGGAAGCCUGAUGCAGCGACGCCGCGUGGGGGAUGACGGCCUUCGGGUUGUAAACUCCUUUCGACCGCGAGGAAGCCACCUGGUUGGAAGGGUGGUGACGGUAGUGGUAGAAGAAGCACCGGCUAACUACGUG
rnacentral:rRNA from 1 species